rnacentral:rRNA from 1 species
AGCGAACGCUGGCGGCAGGCUUAACACAUGCAAGUCGAACGGGCACUUCGGUGCUAGUGGCAGACGGGUGAGUAACGCGUGGGAACGUGCCUUUCGGUUCGGAAUAAUCCAGGGAAACUUGGACUAAUACCGGAUACGCCCUUCGGGGAAGAUUAUCGCCGAAGAUCGGCCCGCGUCUGAUUAGCUAGUUGGUGAGGUAAAGGCUCACCAAGGCGACGAUCAGUAGCUGGUCUGAGAGGAUGAUCAGCCACACUGGGUACUGAGACACGGCCCAGACUCCUACGGGAGGCAGCAGUGGGGAAUAUUGGACAAUGGGCGAAAGCCUGAUCCAGCCAUGCCGCGUGAGUGAUGAAGGCCUUA